rnacentral:rRNA from 1 species
GACAGAGGGUGCAACCGUUGUUCGGAAUUACUGGGCGUAAAGCGCGUGUAGGCUGCUCUGCAAGUCGGAUGUGAAAGCCCUGGGCUCAACCUAGGAAGUGCAUUCGAAACUGCAGAGCUGGAGUCCUGGGGAGGAAGGCGGAAUUCUCGGUGUAGAGGUGAAAUUCGUAGAUAUCGAGAGGAACACCGGUGGCGAAGGCGGCCUUCUGGACAGUGACUGACGCUGAGACGCGAAAGCGUGGGGAGCAAACAGG